AAGCGCUUGCAACCAGACUUGCGCGCUGUUGAUCAUCCGAGCUUCUGCCCGGUGCACUCAGCAGCGUUCAGGCCAGCAUCGGUUUUGGUGGGCGGAUAAAGGCCUUGGGAAUGUAGCUUCUUUCGGGGAGUGUUAUAGCCCACCGUGUAAUACCCUGGGGGGGACUGAGGUUCGCGCAUCUGCAAGGAUGCUGGCGUAAUGGU
rnacentral:rRNA from 1 species